rnacentral:rRNA from 1 species
GACGAACGCUGGCGGCGUGCUUAAUACAUGCAAGUCAACUUGACUUUAGAUAGCAAUAUCGAAAAGUAGGGUGGCGCACGGGUGCGUAACGCGUAGGUAAUCUGCCCUGAGGUCUGACAUAACCCGUCGAAAGGCGGGCUAACAUCAGAUGAUAUAUAAUCACGACAUCGUGGAAAUAUCAAAUCUUCGGAGCCUUGGGAUGAGCCUGCGUCUGAUUAGGUAGUUGGCGGAGUAAUAGCCCACCAAGCCUACGAUCAGUAGCUGGUCUGAGAGGAUGAUCAGCCACACUGGAACUGAGACACGGUCCAGACUCCUACGGGAGGCAGCAGUAAGGAAUAUUGCUCAAUGGGGGAAACCCUGAAGCAGCAACGCCGCGUGAAGGAUGAAAUACUUUUGUAUGUAAACUUCUGUAAGAUGGGAAAAAUAUUACUCCUCGGGGUGAAUUGAUUGUACCAUCAGAGU